rnacentral:rRNA from 1 species
AGAGUUUGAUCAUGGCUCAGAUUGAACGCUGGCGGCAUGCUUUACACAUGCAAGUCGAACGGUAACAGGCCGCAAGGUGCUGACGAGUGGCGAACGGGUGAGUAAUGCAUCGGAACGUGCCCAGUCGUGGGGGAUAACGCAGCGAAAGCUGCGCUAAUACCGCAUACGAUCUAUGGAUGAAAGCGGGGGACCGUAAGGCCUCGCGCGAUUGGAGCGGCCGAUGUCAGAUUAGGUAGUUGGUGGGGUAAAGGCUCACCAAGCCGACGCUCUGUAGCUGGUCUGAGAGGACGACCAGCCACACUGGGACUGAGACACGGCCCAGACUCCUACGGGAGGCAGCAGUGGGGAAUUUUGGACAAUGGGCGCAAGCCUGAUCCAGCAAUGCCGCGUGCAGGAAGAAGGCCUUCGGGUUGUAAACUGCUUUUGUACGGAACGAAAAGGCCCUGGUUAAUACCUGGGGCUCAUGACGGUACCGUAAGAAUAAGCACCGGCUAACUACGUGCCAGCAGCCGCGGUAAUACGUAGGGUGCAAGCGUUAAUCGGAAUUACUGGGCGUAAAGCGUGCGCAGGCGGUUUUGUAAGACAGGCGUGAAAUCCCCGGGCUCAACCUGGGAAUUGCGCUUGUGACUGCAAGGCUGGAGCGCGGCAGAGGGGGAUGGAAUUCCGCGU